rnacentral:rRNA from 1 species
AGAGUUUGAUCCUGGCUCAGGAUGAACGCUAGCUACAGGCUUAACACAUGCAAGUCGAGGGGCAGCAUGGACUCAGCUUUGCUGGGUUUGAUGGCGACCGGCGCACGGGUGAGUAACGCGUAUCCAACCUGCCCUUUACUCCGGGAUAGUCUCCUGAAAGGGAGUUUAAUACCGGAUGUGUUUGUCUUUCCGCAUGGGAGCGACAAAUAAAGAUUAAUUGGUAAAGGAUGGGGAUGCGUCCCAUUAGCUAGUUGGCGGGGUAACGGCCCACCAAGGCGACGAUGGGUAGGGGUUCUGAGAGGAAGGUCCCCCACAUUGGAACUGAGACACGGUCCAAACUCCUACGGGAGGCAGCAGUGAGGAAUAUUGGUCAAUGGGCGGGAGCCUGAACCAGCCAAGUAGCGUGAAGGACGACGGCCCUACGGGUUGUAAACUUCUUUUAUAAGGGAAUAAAGUUCGCCACGUGUGGUGUUUUGUAUGUACCUUAUGAAUAAGCAUCGGCUAAUUCCGUGCCAGCAGCCGCGGUAAUACGGAAGAUGCGAGCGUUAUCCGGAUUUAUUGGGUUUAAAGGGAGCGUAGGCGGGCUUUUAAGUCAGCGGUCAAAUGUCACGGCUCAACCGUGGCCAGCCGUUGAAACUGCAAGCCUUGAGUCUGCACAGGGCACAUGGAAUUCGUGGUGUAGCGGUGAAAUGCUUAGAUAUCACGAAGAACUCCGAUCGCGAAGGCAUUGUGCCGGGGCAGCACUGACGCUGAGGCUCGAAAGUGCGGGUAUCAAACAGGAUUAGAUACCCUGGUAGUCCGCACGGUAAACGAUGAAUGCUCGCUAUGGGCGAUACAAUGUCCGUGGCCAAGCGAAAGCGUUAAGC